rnacentral:rRNA from 1 species
UACGGGGGGGGCAAGCGUUGUUCGGAAUUACUGGGCGUAAAGGGCUUGUAGGCGGCCAACUAAGUCAGACGUGAAAUCCCUCGGCUUAACCGGGGAACUGCGUCUGAUACUGGAUGGCUUGAGAUUGGGAGAGGGAUGCGGAAUUCCAGGUGUAGCGGUGAAAUGCGUAGAUAUCUGGAGGAACACCGGUGGCGAAGGCGGCAUCCUGGACCAACACUGACGCUGAGGAGCGAAAGCCAGGGGAGCGAACAGG